rnacentral:rRNA from 1 species
UACGUAGGGGGCAAGCGUUAUCCGGAUUUACUGGGUGUAAAGGGAGCGUAGACGGCGGUGCAAGCCAGAUGUGAAAGCCCGGGGCUCAACUCCGGGACUGCUUUUGAAACUGUGUGACUGGAGUGCAGGAGAGGUAAGCGGAAUUCCUGGUGUAGCGGUGAAAUGCGUAGAUAUCAGGAGGAACACCAGUGGCGAAAGCGCUUUACUGGACCAUUAUUGACGCUGAGGAACGAAAGCCAGGGGAGCAAAUGGG